UACGGGGGUGCGAGCGUUGUCCGGAAUUAUUGGGCGUAAAGAGCUCGUAGGUGGUUUGUCGCGUUGUUCGUGAAAACUCACAGCUUAACUGUGGGCGUGCGGGCGAUACGGGCAGACUUGAGUACUGCAGGGGAGACUGGAAUUCCUGGUGUAGCGGUGGAAAUGCGCAGAUAUCAGGAGGAACACCGGUGGCGAAGGCGGGUCUCUGGACCGAUACUGACGUGAGGAGCGAAAAGCAUGGGGGAGCGAAACAGG
rnacentral:rRNA from 1 species